CCGCAUGGAACAGUGUGAAAAACUCCGGUGGUGUGAGAUGGACCCGCGUCUGAUUAGCCAGUUGGCGGGGUAACGGCCCACCAAAGCGACGAUCAGUAGCCGGCCUGAGAGGGUGAACGGCCACAUUGGGACUGAGACACGGCCCAAACUCCUACGGGAGGCAGCAUG
rnacentral:rRNA from 1 species